rnacentral:rRNA from 1 species
GACGAACGCUGGCGGCGUGCUUAACACAUGCAAGUCGAACGGAAAGGCCCUGCUUUUGUGGGGUGCUCGAGUGGCGAACGGGUGAGUAACACAUGAGUAACCUGCCCUUGACUUUGGGAUAACUUCAGGAAACUGGGGCUAAUACCGGAUAGGAGCUCCUGCUGCAUGGUGGGGGUUGGAAAGUUUCGGCGGUUGGGGAUGGACUCGCGGCUUAUCAGCUUGUUGGUGGGGUAGUGGCUUACCAAGGCUUUGACGGGUAGCCGGCCUGAGAGGGUGACCGGCCAGAUUGGGACUGAGAUACGGCCCAGACUCCUACGGGAGGCAGCAGUGGGGAAUAUUGAACAAUGGGCGGAAGCCUGAUGCAGCAACGCCGCGUGCGGGAUGACGGCCUUCGGGUUGUAAACCGCUUUCGCCUGUGACGAAGCGUGAGUGACGGUAAUGGGUAAAGAAGCACCGGCUAACUACGUG